rnacentral:rRNA from 1 species
GCUUGUGUGUGCCGGAGCGCAUUUAUAAUCCUUCUAGAAAACGAUUCUGCCAUUAACUUGGUGGGGUCGCGAUCUAGAACAUUUACUUUGAAAAAAUUAGAGUGUUUAAAGCAGGCGGAAAGUCAUAAAUACAUUAGCAUGGAAUAAUAAUCUAGGACUUCGGUUCUAUUUUGUUGGUUUCUAUAACUGAAGUAAUGAUUGAUAGGGACAGUUGGGGGUGCUAGUAUUGGCCGGCCAGAGGUGAAAUUCUUGGAUUCGGUCAAGACUAACUUAUGCGAAAGCAUUCACCAAGGAUGUCUUCUUUAAUCAAGAACGAAAGUUGGGGGAUCGAAGACGAUCAGAUACCGUCGUAGUCUCAGCCAUAAACUAUACCGACUAAGGAUCAGUGAACGUUGAUUUACGACUUCAUUGGCACUUUGUGAGAAAUCAAAGUCUUUGGGUUCCGGGGGGAGUAUGGUCGCAAGGCUGAAACUUAAAAGAAUUGACGGAAGAACACACCAGAAGUGGAGUUUGCGGCUUAAUUCGACUCAACACGGGAAAACUCACCAAGACAGGAUAGCGAGCAGGAUUGACAGGUUAAAGUCCUUUCAUGAUUUCUUAUAUGGUGGUGCAUGGCCGUUCUUAGUUGGUGGAGUGAUUUGUCUGGUUAAUUCCGUUAACGAACGAGACCUUAGCCUACUAACUAGUCGGACAGAUCUCCGAUAUGUCACGACUUCUUAGAGGGACUUUGUG